UACGUAGGGGGCUAGCGUUGUCCGGAUUUAUUGGGCGUAAAGAGCGUGUAGGCGGCCAGGUAGGUCUGCUGUGAAAACUCGAGGCUCAACCUCGAGAGUCGGCGGAAACCAUCUGGCUAGAGUCCGGAAGAGGAGAGUGGAAUUCCCGGCGUAGUGGUGAUAUGCGUAGAUAUCAGGAGGAACACCGGUGGCGAAGGCGGGCUCUGGGCCGAUACUGACGCUGAGGAGCGAAAGCGUGGGGAGCGAACAGG
rnacentral:rRNA from 1 species